CUUUGCAUUUGUUGGAAAGCAUUUAACGAGACGGUAAGGAAAUCUUGAGAAAUUGUGGUUCAAUAUUUUGUAAAAGUGUUUUGUAGCAAACAGCAGUUUUGACUGCUAUUUUAACAUAAAACUUUUAAAGCGUUCAAUAUUUAAAAAAAAAUAGCGGCGUCUAGGGUCCAUCCUAUUUUGGUCUUACGGAAUUUUGAAGCUGUUAACCAGAACAACACAG